rnacentral:rRNA from 1 species
GAUGAACGCUGGCGGCGUGCCUAAUACAUGCAAGUAGAACGCUGAAGGAGGAGCUUGCUCUUCUAGAUGAGUUGCGAACGGGUGAGUAACGCGUAGGUAACCUGCCUGGUAGCGGGGGAUAACUAUUGGAAACGAUAGCUAAUACCGCAUGACAACAGUUAUUGCAUGAUAACUGUUUAAAAGGGGCAACUGCUCCACUACCAGAUGGACCUGCGUUGUAUUAGCUAGUUGGUGAGGUAACGGCUCACCAAGGCGACGAUACAUAGCCGACCUGAGAGGGUGAUCGGCCACACUGGGACUGAGACACGGCCCAGACUCCUACGGGAGGCAGCAGUAGGGAAUCUUCGGCAAUGGACGGAAGUCUGACCGAGCAACGCCGCGUGAGUGAAGAAGGUUUUCGGAUCGUAAAGCUCUGUUGUAAGAGAAGAACGAGUGUGAGAGUGGAAAGUUCACACUGUGACGGUAUCUUACCAGAAAGGGACGGCUAACUACGUG